rnacentral:rRNA from 1 species
ACUUUUACAAUGAAGAGUUUGAUCCUGGCUCAGGAUGAACGCUAGCUACAGGCUUAACACAUGCAAGUCGAGGGGCAGCAUUGGAGUAGCAAUACUUCAGAUGGCGACCGGCGCACGGGUGAGUAACACGUAUCCAACCUGCCGCUUACUCGGGGAUAGCCUUUCGAAAGAAAGAUUAAUACCCGAUGGUAUAAAGAGUUCGCAUGUUCUCUUUAUUAAAGAAUUUCGGUAAGCGAUGGGGAUGCGUUCCAUUAGAUUGUUGGCGGGGUAACGGCCCACCAAGUCUACGAUGGAUAGGGGUUCUGAGAGGAAGGUCCCCCACAUUGGAACUGAGACACGGUCCAAACUCCUACGGGAGGCAGCAGUGAGGAAUAUUGGUCAAUGGACGAGAGUCUGAACCAGCCAAGUAGCGUGAAGGAUGACUGCCCUAUGGGUUGUAAACUUCUUUUAUAAGGGAAUAAAGUGAGGGACGUGUCCCUUUUUGUAUGUACCUUAUGAAUAAGGAUCGGCUAACUCCGUGCCAGCAGCCGCGGUAAUACGGAGGAUCCAAGCGUUAUCCGGAUUUAUUGGGUUUAAAGGGAGCGUAGGUUGACAUAUAAGUCAGCUGUGAAAGUUUACGGCUCAACCGUGAAAUUGCAGUUGAUACUGUAUGUCUUGAGUGUACAAGAGGUGGGCGGAAUUCGUGGUGUAGCGGUGAAAUGCUUAGAUAUCACGAAGAACUCCAAUUGCGAAGGCAGCUCACUGGGGUACAACUGACACUGAGGCUCGAAAGUGUGGGUAUCAAACAGGAUUAGAUACCCUGGUAGUCCACACAGUAAACGAUGAAUACUCGCUGUUUGCGAUAUACAGUAAGCGGCCAAGCGAAAGCAUUAAGUAUUCCACCUGGGGAGUACGCCGGCAACGGUGAAACUCAAAGGAAUUGACGGGGGCCCGCACAAGCGGAGGAACAUGUGGUUUAAUUCGAUGAUACGCGAGGAACCUUACCCGGGCUUGAAUUGCAGAGGAACAUAGUUGAAAGAUUAUGGCCGCAAGGUCUCUGUGAAGGUGCUGCAUGGUUGUCGUCAGCUCGUGCCGUGAGGUGUCGGCUUAAGUGCCAUAACGAGCGCAACCCUUAUCAUUAGUUACUAACAGGUCAUGCUGAGGACUCUAGUGAGACUGCCGUCGUAAGAUGUGAGGAAGGUGGGGAUGACGUCAAAUCAGCACGGCCCUUACGUCCGGGGCUACACACGUGUUACAAUGGGGGGUACAGAGGGCAGCUACCGGGCGACCGGAUGCCAAUCCCAAAAACCUCUCUCAGUUCGGAUCGAAGUCUGCAACCCGACUUCGUGAAGCUGGAUUCGCUAGUAAUCGCGCAUCAGCCACGGCGCGGUGAAUACGUUCCCGGGCCUUGUACACACCGCCCGUCAAGCCAUGGGAGCCGGGGGUACCUGAAGUACGUAACCGCAAGGAGCGUCCUAGGGUAAAACUGGUGACUGGGGCUAAGUCGUAACAAGGUAGCCGUACCGGAAGGUGCGGCUGGAACACCUCCUUUCU